CAGUCGAGCGAAUCGAUGGGAGCUUGCUCCCUGAGAUUAGCGGCGGACGGGUGAGUAACACGUGGGCAACCUGCCUAUAAGACUGGGAUAACUUCGGGAAACCGGAGCUAAUACCGGAUACGUUCUUUUCUCGCAUGAGAGAAGAUGGAAAGACGGUUUACGCUGUCACUUAUAGAUGGGCCCGCGGCGCAUUAGCUAGUUGGUGAGGUAAUGGCUCACCAAGGCGACGAUGCGUAGCCGACCUGAGAGGGUGAUCGGCCACACUGGGACUGAGACACGGCCCAGACUCCUACGGGAGGCAGCAGUAGGGAAUCUUCCGCAAUGGACGAAAGUCUGACGGAGCAACGCCGCGUGAACGAAGAAGGCCUUCGGGUCGUAAAGUUCUGUUGUUAGGGAAGAACAAGUACCAGAGUAACUGCUGGUACCUUGACGGUACCUAACCAGAAAGCCACGGCUAACUACGUGCCAGCAGCCGCGGUAAUACGUAGGUGGCAAGCGUUGUCCGGAAUUAUUGGGCGUAAAGCGCGCGCAGGUGGUUCCUUAAGUCUGAUGUGAAAGCCCACGGCUCAACCGUGGAGGGUCAUUGGAAACUGGGGAACUUGAGUGCAGAAGAGGAAAGUGGAAUUCCAAGUGUAGCGGUGAAAUGCGUAGAGAUUUGGAGGAACACCAGUGGCGAAGGCGACUUUCUGGUCUGUAACUGACACUGAGGCGCG
rnacentral:rRNA from 1 species